rnacentral:tRNA from 1 species
GGAGAGAUGGCAGAGAGGCUUAUUGCAACGGUCUUGAAAACCGUCGAAGUAUAUUAAUACUUCCGUGGGUUCAAAUCCCUCUCUCUCCG